CACAAGCAGCGGAGCGUGUGGUUUAAUUCGAUGCAACGCGAAGAACCUUACCAAGGCUUGACAUGCCAGAAGUAGGAACUCGAAAGAGAGACCACCUGUAUCCAGUCAGGAACUGGCACAGGUGCUGCAUGGCUGUCGUCAGCUCGUGCCGUGAGGUGUUAGGUUAAGUCCUGCAACGAGCGCAACCCUCGUCGCUAGUUAAAUUUUUCUAGCGAUACUGCCCGUAAAACGAGGAGGAAGGUGGGGAUGACGUCAAGUCAGCAUGGCCCUUACGCCUUGGGCUACACACACGCUACAAUGGGUGAUACAACGGGUUGCGAGAGAGCGAUCUGGAGCUAAUCCCUAAAAUCAUCCUCAGUUCGGAUUGCAGGCUGAAACUGCCUGCAUGAAGUUGGAGUUGCUAGUAACCGCAGGUCAGCACACUGCGGUGAAUACGUUCUCGGGCCUU
rnacentral:rRNA from 1 species